rnacentral:rRNA from 1 species
GACGAACGCUGGCGGCGUGCUUAACACGUGCAAGUCGAACGGUGAAGCGCCUUCCUUUUUGGUGGGUGUGGAUGAGUGGCGAACGGGUGAGUAACACGUGAGUAACCUGCCCCCUUCUUCUGGAUAACCGCAUGAAAGUGUGGCUAAUACGGGAUAUUCUGGGUCUGUCGCAUGAUGGGUCUGGGAAAGAUAUUGUUUCGGUGGGGGAUGGGCUCGCGGCCUAUCAGCUUGUUGGUGGGGUGAUGGCCUACCAAGGCGGUGACGGGUAGCCGGCCUGAGAGGGUGGACGGUCACACUGGGACUGAGACACGGCCCAGACUCAUACGGGAGGCAGCAGUGGGGAAUAUUGCACAAUGGGCGCAAGCCUGAUGCAGCGACGCCGCGUGAGGGAUGGAGGCCUUCGGGUUGUGAACCUCUUUCGCCAGUGAAGCAGGCCUGCCUCGUUUGUGGGUGGGUUGACGGUAGCUGGAUAAGAAGCGCCGGCUAACUACGUG